CUUUUGUCUCUUCUCUCUGCCGUGUAAAUAUAUUAAAUCUCUAAUGUCACAAAAUGAGUUUGCAUUUCAUCAGUUCUUCUGCUUUACAUCAUAAAAGACGAAUGCAGUGCACAUGAAUGUGUAAUACAAGCCCUAUAGAGGUACCUUCAGGUAAAGUGUCACUGACAAAAAAGAUUAUCAAUACAUUAAAUUACUCAGAUUUCUACAAACACAAAGUUCCUUCUUUUUGCCACAGUGAUAUGGAGUUCCUUAAAAAUGGGGAAAAAAAGAAGAAAUUGAAACGUAUGAUCCUUGUCAGUCAACUGGAUGGUUAACAGUAAACCAUAAUAGUGGACUUAAAAAUUAAAUGACGAAGGACCGGACUACACUGGCACACUCAUGAGAGUCCAUAUCCAUGGAUAUACUGGAUAAGGAUGAUUUCAUGAUUGGAGUUCGCUUUGGGUCCAAAUAUGUGUGUCAUUUUCAGCAUGUUGUAGGGUCACAGGGAGCCUGGAGUCUAUUCCAGGGAGCUCAGCAUAGCAACAUGGGGGACACUCUGGACAGGGUGCCAAUCCAUCGCAGGGCACAAUUCCCACACACUACGGACAAUUUGGAAAUGCCAAUCAGCCUACAGCGCAUUUCUUUGGACUGGUGGAGGAAACUGGAGUACCCGGAGAGAACAACUGAAGCACAGGGAGAACACGCACAGAGGCCUGUGCUUAUGCUGGCUAAUUAAGCAGUACAGGAUGUCAGUGAUGCUGGGAGACUUCCCCCAUCGUAGCUGGGGAGCCACUCCUCUGAAGAGGAACAUGGCGUGAGCUGGCUUUUGUCAUCUCUCCAUCUCUGUAGGGGAAGAUUCUAUUGAGAAGACAACCUCAAUAACAGCAAUCACAAUCACAUUCGCACUACACACUCUUCAACACAGACGGCCUGCGACGGUGUAAAUUAAGCUCAGAAUGGUGCACGAGUCAUUGUUUUGGAAGGUGGCAGGCAGUGUCCUACACACUUAAGCCACACAAGACCAGAAAUGCAGGAAUGACCCAUCACAAAACACUGACUAAGUGAGAGUACAAAAAACAAAAACAAAAAACAAAGCAGGUUUGGCACUCUAUUGUCGGUGUGAUUAAAAGCAACGAUGGAAUAUUUUAACAUUAAAAAGAAAUCAGAAGAGCAGUGAUGGUGAAUAAUACGUGCUCAGUGUGAGGUAGGACCACUCUUGCAAAGUAACACCCAUUAAAAGCUCAUUUGCACCGUGAGGCAGUUCAUUAAUGCAGGGAAUAGUGAAAUCACACCAAUAGAGCACAGCGUAACCCCAGGGCACUGGCAGGAGCCGGGGUUCACCCUGCCAACAAACUCAACCCCACAGCUCAUUUACACUGGGGAUUACCACUGGCCAGGGUGUUUACUGUUUUAUUGUUUACUCAUAUGUGCAGAGAGAGUGCAGUGUAAGACAUCUGUCAUAAUUUUCGGCAUGGAUACGCCUCAUUUAUGUGUGUGCUCUGUCAAAUUCACUAUGUG
ensembl:lncRNA